rnacentral:tRNA from 1 species
UCCCUGGUGGCUCAGACGAUAAAGCGUCUGUCUACAACGUAGAAGAUCCGGGUUCGAUCCCUGGGUCGGGAA